rnacentral:rRNA from 1 species
GACAGAGGAGCCAAGCUUUGUCCGGACUGACUGGGCGUAAAACGCACGCAGGCGGCGCUGUGCGUGGGGUGUGAAAGCUCUUGGCUUAACUGAGAGAGGCCAUCCCAUACGGCAGCGCUCGAGCGGUGCAGAGGUCCGCGGAAUUGCCGGUGUAGUGGUGAAAUGCGUAGAGAUCGGCAGGAACACCCAGGGGGAAACCAGCGGACUGGGCAUCGGCUGACGCUCAGGUGCGACAGCGUGGGGAGCGAACCGG